GCGUCCUUAGUUCAGUUGGUAGAACGUCGGUCUCCAAAACCGAAUGCCGGGGGUUCGAGUCCUCCAGGGCGCG
rnacentral:tRNA from 2 species